GGUUGUAAACUGCUUUUAUACGGGAAGAAACGCGCCCACGUGUGGGCGUUGACGGUACCGUAAGAAUAAGGACCGGCUAACUCCGUGCCAGCAGCCGCGGUAAUACGGAGGGUCCGAGCGUUAUCCGGAAUCAUUGGGUUUAAAGGGUCCGUAGGCGGGCCUGUAAGUCAGGGGUGAAAGUUUGUGGCUCAACCAUAAAAUUGCCUUUGAUACUGCAGGUCUUGAGUCAUGGUGGGGUUGCCGGAACAUGUGGUGUAGCGGUGAAAUGCAUAGAUAUCACAUAGAACACCGAUCGCGAAGGCAGGUGACCAACCAUGUACUGACGCUGAUGGACGAAAGCGUGGGUAGCGAACGGGAUUAGAUACCCCGGUAGUCCACGCCGUAAACGAUGGAUACUAGCUGUGGGGACUUCGGUCUCCGUGGCCAAGCGAAAGUGAUAAGUAUCCCACCUGGGGAGUACGUUCGCAAGAAUGAAACUCAAAGGAAUUGACGGGGGCCCGCACAAGCGGUGGAGCAUGUGGUUUAAUUCGAUGAUACGCGAGGAACCUUACCAGGGCUUAAAUGCAGGCUGCAUGGGGUAGAGAUACCCCUUUCUUCGGACCGCCUGCAAGGUGCUGCAUGGUUGUCGUCAGCUCGUGCCGUGAGGUGUCAGGUUAAGUCCUAUAACGAGCGCAACCCCUACCGUUAGUUGCCAGCAUGUCAAGAUGGGGACUCUAACGGGACUGCCGGUGCAAACCGUGAGGAAGGUGGGGACGACGUCAAAUCAUCACGGCCCUUACGUCCUGGGCUACACACGUGCUACAAUGGCCGGUACAGAGGGAAGCCACCCCGCAAGGGGGCGCGGAUCUACAAAACCGGUCACAGUUCGGAUCGGGGUCUGCAACUCGACCCCGUGAAGCUGGAAUCGCUAGUAAUCGGAUAUCAGCCAUGAUCCGGUGAAAUACGUUCCCGGGCCUUGUACAACACCGCCCGUCAAGC
rnacentral:rRNA from 1 species